rnacentral:rRNA from 1 species
UAUUAUAUACUUGAUGUUGAUAUCCUACGUGGAUAACUGUGGUAAUUCUAGAGCUAAUACAUGCACCAAAGCUCCGAUUUUUUGACGAGCGCAUCUAUUAGAUUAAAACCAAUCGGGUUUCGGCCCGUCAAUUGGUGACUCUGAAUAACUAUGGCUGAUCGCAUGGUCUUGAACCGGCGACGUGUCUAUCAAGUGUCUGCCUUAUCAACUGUCGAUGGUAGUUUAUGUGCCUACCAUGGUUGUAACGGGUAACGGAGAAUAAGGGUUCGACUCCGGAGAGGGAGCCUGAGAAACGGCUACCACAUCCAAGGAAGGCAGCAGGCGCGCAAAUUACCCACUCUCGGCAUGAGGAGGUAGUGACGAAAAAUAACGAGACCGUUCUCUCUGAGGCCGGUUAUCGGAAUGGGUACAAUUUAAACCCGUUAACGAGGAUCUAUGAGAGGGCAAGUCUGGUGCCAGCAGCCGCGGUAAUUCCAGCUCUCAAAGUGUAUAUCGUCAUUGCUGCGGUUAAAAAGCUCGUAGUUGGAUCUGCGCCUCAGGACUUGGUCCGCCCACUGGGCGAGAACUGGGCUCCUGGGCUAGUACUGCUGGUUUUCCCUACGUUGCCUUCAUCGGUCGCGUAGGGUGGCUAGCGAGUUUACUUUGAAAAAAUUAGAGUGCUUCACGCGGGCUUAUGUCUGAAUACUCGUGCAUGGAAUAAUAGAAUAGGAUCUCGGUUCUAUUUUGUUGGUUUUCUGAUCUGAGAUAAUGGUUAAGAGGGACGGACGGGGGCAUUCGUAUCGCUGCGUGAGAGGUGAAAUUCUUGGACCGUAGCGAGACGUCCGACUGCGAAAGCAUUUGCCAAGAAUGUCUUCAUUAAUCAAGAACGAAAGUCAGAGGUUCGAA